UGUGACGGGAACAAACACGAGCAAGAGGCCAGCCUUUCUGGGCCCAGCAGAACACCACUCCUUUCAUGGCCGGGGUGCCUAUAAUUAGUCUACAAAUAGUACCGUGCCCGUCGCCAGCUCACCCCUUCUGUCCUUAUUCCUACUCACUGCGCCCCAGUUGCCUUUUCUACGUGCUGAACUUCCCUGUGGAGUGGAGGAAAGGGAAAGAAGGAAUCCGACUCCAUAUUAUUGUAUGGAAUGCAGCAGGCAGCCUUCCUGGCGAUCAGAUUAUGUCCAAGCAUCGUCCCUGAAUGAUUUCAUCUGAACUGUUGACUCCUGAAUUCACCACAAUUCUCCCUCAUGGCUCCCUCAUGAUGCCACAGAUGAAGAAGCUCUUACAGAUCAUCGGGUUAUUUGGACCUUACAACAGGACAAAUGGCUCUGAGUCCGGUGCUUCUUCCUCCAGCCCUACCAGGAGGCCCUGUAGCCCCACCCCACUCCCACCCCGGGGGCUCUCGCUCGCUGGCUUAAUGAAGAUUUCCUGAGCCCCUGCUCCGUGCCCAGCACCGGCCGGCAUGCUGAGACAUAACACUGAGGAAGAUAGUUCACAGAGGAAUUGAUGGCACCACCUGAAAUGCUAGAGCCUUAUCCACCCAGCCCCGCGCUGGGCCCAGCAGCAGAACGGUAGAGUUCUUCCCUUACCUCUGGAUCAGGCUUCUGUAUGUUCUCCAGGCUUUUUACCAGGGUUGUGGACGUUCCUGAGCUGCAAGGCAUGAAAAUCAUGGGGAAUUAACCGGCCAGCACUGUAUGUUCAAGAGUCCCUGCAGGAGACCCCACAGAGCUUUGUGCAGAGGGGGACCUCAGAGGAGGAACUAUUCUCUCUAGAUGCCCACCGCCAGCACCAGUCAGCCCACCUUGAGACCCGAGGAGUGCAUCUCUCUGAUGAAGGGCAGGAAGGGAUUCUGGAGAUAGUCUGGGCUGAACAGCAGCGUUGACUUCCCUAUUAACCUAGCUAACAUCUUUCUGCCCACACACUUUCAAGUGAAUUAACAGUGAGGGCCACGGGAUUAGAUUUUAUCACAACCGAGGACUAGGGAGAUGUAGCUGGACCAGCAGGGGGCGACAGAAGCUCAGCGACACCCAGUUUCAAAGGGUUCCUGGCCAUCCAGGGGGGGAGGCCGAGCAGAAUUGGCGCCACAAACUCCCUGAGCGGCCAGCCCUGGCCCCUUCCCAGCCCUCGGCCUUUGAUCUCUUGACCAUCUGCCCUCUGCAUCUGCCACUGAAUACACUUCCUUUUUUUCUGCUCUGGCCUAGGCAAGAGCUAAAAAAAAUAAUAAUAAAUAAUAAUAA